rnacentral:rRNA from 1 species
CCUACGGGUGGGCAGCAGUGGGGAAUAUUGGACAAUGGGCGAAAGCCUGAUCCAGCCAUGCCGCGUGUGUGAAGAAGGCCUUCGGGUUGUAAAGCACUUUCAGUGGGGAAGAAAGCCUUGGGGCUAAUACCCUCGAGGAAGGACAUCACCCACAGAAGAAGCACCGGCUAACUCCGUGCCAGCAGCCGCGGUAAUACGGAGGGUGCGAGCGUUAAUCGGAAUUACUGGGCGUAAAGCGCGCGUAGGCGGCCUGAUAAGCCGGUUGUGAAAGCCCCGGGCUCAACCUGGGAACGGCAUCCGGAACUGUCAGGCUAGAGUGCAGGAGAGGAAGGUAGAAUUCCCGGUGUAGCGGUGAAAUGCGUAGAGAUCGGGAGGAAUACCAGUGGCGAAGGCGGCCUUCUGGACUGACACUGACGCUGAGGUGCGAAAGCGUGGGUAGCAAACAGGAUUAGAUACCCCGGUAGUC